rnacentral:lncRNA from 1 species
CUCGAUUAGCAUCACAAGUAUUGGCCGACCGACUUCCCGCUUGCUCGACUAUCAUCGCAAGUAAUGGUCGGCCGCCCACUACACUUGCUCGAUUAACAUCGCAAGUAAUAGCUGGCCACCUAUCCUUAGUUGUUCGAUUAAAGAUCACAAUUAAAUGGCCGAUCGCCCGUUCUUGUUCGAUUAAAAUCACAAUUAAAAGGCCGACCGCCCAAAUCCAACUUAUUUGAUCACACCUAGGGUCACGUCACACCUCGAGAAAUGGAAUAGCCGCACGAUCAAGGGAAACCGACCGACACCCAUCAUUAAAGACUCAUCGGACAUAUGUAACACAUCUGCCCUUGAGCCUGGGGGGCAAGUGUACCGGUAUGGCC